CACACGCCCGUCACACCAUGAGAGUKURWCACCCGAAGCCGGUGGCGUAACCCUUUUAGGGAGCGAGCCGUCUAAGGUGGGACAAAUGAUUAGGGUGAAGUCGUAACAAGGUAGCCGUAGGAGAACCUGCGGCUGGAUCACCUCCUUUCUAAGGAA
rnacentral:rRNA from 1 species